AACGAUACAUUUCUACUAUUCCUUCACACUGUCCGCUUGUAGAAUUUAUCGAAGGAGAGAUGAACUGGAUUCAGCGGAAAAUCUAUCUAUACAAUGUUACUUUCGGCCUGUACAUGCUCGAUUGGUGGGAGCGAUGUCUCUUCAAUAUUCUGAUGGUUGUGCUGCUGUGGUUUGUUUGUACGAGGUGUUUCGAUCUGCUUCACAGUUCUCUGAAAGGCAAUGCGGGAGUUGUAUGAAGCAGCUAGCGGAGUUGAAAAUGAUUGCAGUUGGGGGUAGAUUAUGAGUUAAGUAUGGUUAAGGGUCCUGCAAGUUUGCCGUUCUAACAUGAUCAAUCCAACUAUUGUCAAUAGGGCAUUUACUGUGUGGUAAGGUUGUUUUAUGGACAAAAACUCCCUUUUGUAGGAUGGACAAAAGCAAUGUAUUUAUUUAGGUUUUAAUUUUUCUUUUUAUUUUCCCACGGUGUUUCUAUUUGCAUAUUAUUCUCUUUUGUUUUUGCAUGUCACUGAAUUUGUGAUAGUUCUCAA